UACGUAGGUGGCGAGCGUUGUCCGGAUUUACUGGGUGUAAAGGGAGCGCAGGCGGCACGGCAAGCCUGAUGUGAAAGCCCGCGGCCCAACCGCGGGACUGCAUUGGGAACUACCGGGCUGGAGUGCCGGAGAGGUAGGCGGAAUCCCUAGUGUAGCGGUGAAAUGCGUAGAGAUUAGGAAGAACACCAGUGGCGAAGGCGAUUCUCUGGACUGUAACUGACGCUGAGGCUCGAAAGCGUGGGGAGCAAACAGG
rnacentral:rRNA from 1 species